rnacentral:rRNA from 1 species
UACGUAGGGUGCAAGCGUUAAUCGGAAUUACUGGGCGUAAAGCGUGCGCAGGCGGUUUUGUAAGUCUGACGUGAAAUCCCCGGGCUCAACCUGGGAAUUGCGUUGGAGACUGCAAGGCUAGAAUCUGGCAGAGGGGGGUAGAAUUCCACGUGUAGCAGUGAAAUGCGUAGAGAUGUGGAGGAAUACCGAUGGCGAAGGCAGCCCCCUGGGUCAAGAUUGACGCUCAUGCACGAAAGCGUGGGGAGCAAACAGG